ACAUUAGUAACCUAAAUAACUUGGGAUACAUUGACAAAAUGCUAAUAAAACGGUUCAUUGAUAACUUUCCUUCCGUUUUACUUUGACAAUCGGCACGCAAGGAUCAUCGUGAUCUGAAGUUUUGAACAAUCGGCGGCAAAGGGAGCGAGAGAGAGAUGGCAUCGGAAAAUAAAGAGAGAGAAAGCAAAGGAUAUGCAUGGGCAGUAGCUGCUGGCUUAAACGCUGCUUUAGCUGCUAUCUCUGCUAAGUUUUUCUUUUCUCCGAUUCGCCUUUGGGCCCGUUGGAGGCGCUUUAUUUAACCCUUAAUUUCAAGGGUUAAAAAGGGUUAGGUUGAAAAUCGAGCGGGUUGAAAACGGAGGUAAUGUAGCUUUAGCUUUUAUCACCUUUUUGGCCAAAUAUUCCGAUUUUGUCAAAUGGUAAAGCAAGUCACUCCCAUGUUACCUUCUGUCGCAUUUGUAGAAAACAAACUGGGGUUUCAUGAUUAUAUGCGUGAUUAACUUCUUAGGUCAUGAUAUCUUUAUAGUUGCUCUAAUGAUCGUACUGGAUGGAAAUGCAAUUUUCAUAUUAUUGUUAAUAAAUCCAUCCUUUGCCUGUGUAACUGCAUUCUCUUGUCUCUGGAGGAAAAAUGAGUGAAUAUUUAAAUGAUAUGAAUCUAUUCACCAGCUUGUCAAAUACAGUUUUGUUAUUAUGUUCAAUGUCACAAUGUGGGGAUGCUACGUCAACAGCCUUAGAGCAUUGUCAUCUUUACAAGCUACAGUGACAAACUUUGCAACUAACUUCCUUUCUUCUGGCCUGGCUGGUUUCUUUCUUUUUGGAGAAGUAUUGUCACCCAAGACGAAUAAUUGAUGGGAUUCCGAAUUGUUUUGGUGUUACAAAAUUGCCGUGCCAACUAAAUUUCUCCAAUGGUGCCAACUAAAUUUCUCCAAUUCUCCAUUUUUGGCAACAGUGGUUCGCAGGUGCGUUGCUAAUUGUAGUUGGUGUUGUCGUUCUCUCUAAAUCAAGCAUAGAGAAGAAAGAACGCACGGAUUAGAUAUAAGGCUAUGGCAAUUCAUCAUGCGAAAUCUCAAUUGUUGUGGUGCAAUUGACAGCCAGUCCUCCACUAAUCAAAAGCGUCUGUCAAUUCAUCGUGCGAAAUUAUCAACAAAUUGUGAAGAGUGUUAAUUCUGUGUGUGGAGUAGAAGAUGAAUGAAGCAGAAUGUCUGUGAUCCAUGAAUCUUCAAUGCAGGUGCUUUAUGAUAAGCUUUUGGCUCAAGUUUUUAUCUUCUGGGAUUCUCUUUUGGCAGAAGUUUUUGUGGAAAAUUUUACAUUUUAUAAUCUCCUUGGAUGGAGAAAAAAUGAGUCUCAUUUUCUAAGAGCUUUUUUAUUGGAAUUUACAUUGUAUUAUUCGUUUUGGCCGGGUACUUAACUAUUACUCUCUCCAUUUCAAUUUGUUCGUUACAUUCUCCAUUUCAAUUUGUUUGUUACAUUUUGACCUAAAAUUCAGUACUCUUAGCAUGUGUAAUAUGUAUCCUGCUAUAUUUUUUAAGGACUUUUCAUGGGUUUGUUUCAUUUGA